rnacentral:rRNA from 1 species
UACGAGGGGGGCAAGCGUUGUUCGGAAUUAUUGGGCGUAAAGGGUGCGUAGGCGGUUUGACAAGUCUUAUGUGAAAUCUUCGGGCUCAACCCGAAGUCUGCAUGGGAAACUGUCGGGCUUGAGUAUGGGAGAGGUGAGUGGAAUUUCCGGUGUAGCGGUGAAAUGCGUAGAUAUCGGAAGGAACACCUGUGGCGAAAGCGGCUCACUGGACCAUAACUGACGCUGAGGCACGAAAGCUAGGGGGAGCAAACAGGAUUAGAUACCCUGGUAGUCCUAGCCCUAAACGAUGAUUGCUUGGUGUGGCAGGUACCCAAUCCUGCCGUGCCGAAGCUAACGCGAUAAGCAAUCCGCCUGGGGAGUACGGUCGCAAGGCUGAAACUC